UACGAAGGGGGCUAGCGUUGCUCGGAUUGACUGGGCGUAAAGGGCGCGUAGGCGGUUCGUACAGUCAGACGUGAAAUUCCUGGGCUCAACCUGGGGGCUGCGUUUGAUACGUGCGGACUUGAGUGCGGAAGAGGGUCGUGGAAUUCCCAGUGUAGAGGUGAAAUUCCUAGAUAUUGGGAAGAACAUCGGUGGCGAAGGCGGCGACCUGGUCCGAUACUGACGCUGAGGCGCGAAAGCGUGGGGAGCAAACAGG
rnacentral:rRNA from 1 species